rnacentral:rRNA from 1 species
CAGCAGCCGCGGGAAUACGAAGGGGGCUAGCGUUGUUCGGAACCACUGGGCGUAAAGGGUGCGUAGGCGGAUUCUUAAGUCAGGGGUGAAAUCCCGAGGCUCAACCUCGGAACUGCCUUUGAUACUGGGGAUCUUGAGUCCGGAAGAGGUGAGUGGAACUGCGAGUGUAGAGGUGAAAUUCGUAGAUAUUCGCAAGAACACCGGUGGCGAAGGCGGCUCACUGGUCCGGAACUGACGCUGAGGCACGACAGCGUGGGGAGCAAACAGGAUUAGAUACCCCCGUAGUCCCUGUCUCUUAUAC